rnacentral:rRNA from 1 species
UGAGGAAUAUUGGACAAUGGGCGCAAGCCUGAUCCAGCCAUGCCGCGUGCAGGAUGACGGUCCUAUGGAUUGUAAACUGCUUUUAUACAGGAGGAAACCCUCCGACGUGUCGGAGCUUGACGGUACUGUAAGAAUAAGGAUCGGCUAACUCCGUGCCAGCAGCCGCGGUAAUACGGAGGAUCCAAGCGUUAUCCGGAAUCAUUGGGUUUAAAGGGUCCGUAGGCGGUCAGAUAAGUCAGUGGUGAAAGCCCAUCGCUCAACGGUGGAACGGCCAUUGAUACUGUCUGACUUGAAUUAUUAGGAAGUAACUAGAAUAUGUAGUGUAGCGGUGAAAUGCUUAGAGAUUACAUGGAAUACCAAUUGCGAAGGCAGGUUACUACUAAUGGAUUGACGCUGAUGGACGAAAGCGUGGGUAGCGAACAG